GGGGGUGACUGGCUUCGACGGGGAUCAGGAGGUCAACGGAGCGUGUCGAGCUCUCGGAGUCUCGUUAAACCUUCGGGAAACCAUUAAGUGCCAACGAACCAUUGGCUCUCGCGGCUUAAUUGACCGCGACGUCUCUCUCAUCUUUGCCUGCGGGCUGGGAAGAGACGUCACUUUGCAGGCUGGUCCAAGGCCGGUGCUCAGCGGCGGCGGAUAAGAACUUUCUGGGCUAGCAGACGUUCUAAGCCGGUUGGUGGGCGUGGGCGAAUGCGAAUACCAAAUCAUCGACUACACACGUAGGGCCGUUGCGCUAAAUGUCUUCGGACGCGGGUUCGAUUCCCGCCACCUCCACCA
rnacentral:tmRNA from 2 species